CGAGCACGCGCGUGUGGCAUAUCAAUAAGCGGAGGAAAAGAAACUAACAAGGAUUCCCUUAGUAACGGCGAGUGAAGCGGGAAGAGCUCAAAUUUGAAAUCUUCAAGGUUCUACCUUGACGAAUUGUAGUUUAUAGAAGUGUUUUCUGUUAGUGGAGUGGCAGAAGUUCUUUGGAAUAGGACAUCAUAGAGGGUGAGAAUCCCGUAUUUGGUCAUUCCUUCCUAGCUUUGUGAUACACUUUCAACGAGUCGGAUUGUUUGGGAAUGCAGUCCAAAAUGGGUGGUAAAUUUCAUCUAAAGCUAAAUAUUGGCGAGAGACCGAUAGCGAACAAGUACCGUGAGGGAAAGAUGAAAAGAACUUUGAAAAGAGAGUUAAACAGUACGUGAAAUUGUCAAAAGGGAAGCGUUUGACACCAGUGUUGUUUUCCGAAAAUCAAUUACGAAUGUUUUGUUUUUGAGGAGUUAUGACUUCAUCGGCUUGCUUCUCUUCUUUACGAAACUUUCUUAAUGCACUUUUCGGUUAACAAGUCAACAUCAGUUUCUUUUGUUGUAAAAGGGUAUGAGGAAGGUGGCUUUCUUUUCGGAGAAAGUGUUUAUAGCCUUGUGCCUCUGCAAUCGGAGAGAUUGAGGUCUGCAGCGUAGAUCCUUCGGGGUUAGAUACAUUUGUGCUAAGUUAUAGCUUUUCAUAGACAACUUGUUGACUAUGUUUAGUCUUGUAGCUUACUCGCUUACGCUAUUUUACCUACGCUUAGGAUGUUGAUGUGAUACUGCGAGCA
rnacentral:rRNA from 1 species